rnacentral:misc_RNA from 1 species
AAGAUGCAUAGGUGUUGAUCUCAUUUGACUUUUUUCAGGAUGUGGUAUUCCAAACAGUGUACCGUAUCCAGUUGGGUUUAUGGAAUAACCAUGGCUAUAGACUAUCAAUUAUUUUUUCUUCAUAGAAAAUUAUGGAUAAGGAAUCAUCUAUUUUUACUUCUCCAGUUGGUCAAUAUUAAUAACAAUAAAUUUGUAGUUGCUAUUGUAUUAGUAGCCUAAUUGCUGAGUAUGAUAUUAAGGUUCAAAUACCUGCAUCUUUGUCUCCUAUUAAAA